CCUUCGAUAGCUCAGUUGGUAGAGCGGUGGCAUUCAAUAGACAUCCAUAGGUCGCUAGUUAGAAUCCGGCCCGAAGGA
rnacentral:tRNA from 1 species